GCCUCUAAUGAUGAUCAAAACAUUACUUUCGUUCUUCCGAGAUAUUCUUAUGCGGAAAAAAUAUUGGAGACCUGAACUGAAGAGGC
rnacentral:snoRNA from 1 species